UGCAACCUGAACUCCCAUCCGCUACUAUGGUUCCUCAGAACUGGUCAUUAAUUAUAGUAGAUUUGAAAGAUUGUUUUUUCACAAUUCUACUAUAGCCAGAUGAGAGAGAAAAAUUUGCUUUUUCUGUACCUUCAUACAAUCAUAUGAUUUCUGUGCAACGCUAUCAAUGGAAAGUGCUUCCACAAGGUAUGCUAAAUAGCCCUACUAUGUGUCAGCAUUUUGCUAAUCCGCCGCUUUAACAAUUAUGAAUUUGGUUUCCACAGGUGUUGAUUAUCAUUACAUGGAUGAUAUUCUUUUUGCUGCAGAAAUGCCUACACAGGUAGAAGAUCUUUAUCAAGCUGCUAGAUUAUUGUUGCCCAAAUACGGCCUAAUAAUAGCAGAGGAUAAGAUCAAGGUUACCAGUGGUUACCCAGUCAUGGCUUAAAACCCAAGCAUGAGCCGAUCCAAGCAACCUCAGUUCACCAUGACUCCACUAGUCAAAGAGUUUCACAGAAUUUCCAUCCAGAAACUGAGAAUUGUGCCCAAUGACCACACCCUCUUCCGAGGCACACUAGGACUGCUCAACCUCCUCCCCGGGGACAAGUUAAAAGGUUGACACAUGAUGCUGAAAAAAUAUUGAUGCAGACUUGCAGCCCACAAACUCCUGCUCACCUUUUCUUUGUGAUGCUCACAGUUAUAACCAUCACAAGAAGGGCUGAUAACUAUACUUUCUGGGAUUAUACCCCUCAUCCACCUCUCAGUCAGGAUAUGACUCAAUUGGUAUGACUCCCCUGUGCCAGUGUAUACCAAUGACACUGAAUGGACCCCUGGGCCAUUUGACAGUGGAGGACCACGUAGGCCAAACGAAGAAGGUACUGUUAUGGAUGAUUAUACUAUAGGGAUUGAAGAUCCUCAAAUAUGUUUUCAUUAUGGGAAACACUGCCUCAAAACUUGUAUUUAUUUAGAGCACAACCUGGCCUGUGGCUGCCGGUUCAGGUGUCUUGACCAUGGCAACAUUGUUCAGAAAUGUAUCUGAUGGACCACACUCUAGGCGAGUUCCUCAUCGAUCCCGAUCCUGACCGGUUUGCUGGAAUGCUUGUUGCAGCUCUCAUAGGCAUUAUUGCUGUGACUGUGGCCGCAGCUACUGCGGCUGUCUCAUUGCACCAAUCUGUGCAGACAGUACAAUUUUUACAACAAUGGCAUGAGAAAUCGCACCAACAUUGGAAGACACAGCAGGAUAUUGACAGUAGACAGUCCAGUGAGAUUGCAGGCCUACAACAGGCUGUGUGAUGCUGCUGGGAGAUCAGUUACUGAGCCUACAAAGACAAGUAUCAUUACAAUGUGAUUGGAACACUACAUCAAUAUGUGUAACCCCAUUACCAUUUAAUAACACUAAAUUUCCAUGGAAUGAUGUUAGAGACACUUGCUCGGACAAUCUGACAUGUCUAUGGACAUUCAACAUCUGCAAGCACAGAUAUAUGAGACUUUCAAAAGAAAUCUGGACAUGUUAUCUGGCUCUAAGAUCUUAGAAAGUAUAUCAGAGGGAUGAGGAAUAUUAAACUCUAUAGAGCAUGUUAAGAUUUUUAGCUUUUCUACUGCUAUUCUGUUUAUAUUAAUAUGCGGUGUAUUUAUCAUUGCAUGUACAGUCUGGUGCCAGAGACAAGGAGGCUGUCAAUGUAUCAACCAACAGUUCGGGAUAUGCAAUGUCCUCCUACAGUCCAUCGUAUACAGACAGAAAGGGGGAGAUGCUAGAGAACAGGCUGGAGGCACCAUAAGAAUGUCCUGAAAGAAAGGGACAGAGCAGCAAGAAACUGAAAGAAGUUUCAUUCCCAGGACAGAAAGCCACUGGGAGUUAUGGUUCUCUCCAGAAGGACAUCAUCCGGGCGCCACCCUGCGGAUAAGAAUGUUUUAUCUGGUGCCAGAUGUACUCAUGACCCAGUAUGGAAAACACUGCAGGUACAUGACCUGUCAAGAUGCCAAAUACUAUGUUAUAUGUGCUUGCUGUUGUCAACAAUUUGCAAAAAUAAAAGUGGCUUGAGCCAGGGGACUGAGGCUUUGGCUCCUGGAGA